AAGACCACCAUGUCGCCAUCGACUUGGAAGCCGUGGAGCAGAAAAGAUGUCCUCAGAGAGGGAGCGCAUAACGCUGCUGGUUCUUGGAACGCCUGACCCUUGUCGGCUUCUCUAGGCCAAGCAGGGUAUUAAAAGGUUUCCUCAAAAACACCUAAAUGAUCUUCUGUGGCAAACCAUGUAUAGAGGCAGAGCACGCAGCUGCUAUCAUGCCUGCUCGACACUGGGGCUUUGCUGGAUGAACUGCAGAUAUCCGAUUUAACUAUGCGUUCCACCGUAAACAGGAAGUGACAUCACAUGGAACGCAUAGCAUGUUAUGUGAUCGUACUCCGACCGGAAGUUCGUCAGUCACAUCGUGAUGCCGGAUGGAAUGGAGGCACAGUGGCGGGAGAAUGGACAUACUGCUGAUCUAUAGGCUCAAAAGAACCAGAUUCAUCUCUUUCUGGACCAGGUUUCUAACACGCCAUCAAACAAUGCAGUCAACAAAGCCUUUUCCAACUGUAAUUCAUUCUAAUAAAUGAAGGCAUUAUUUCAC